GCACAAUGCCAUAGCUUGUCGGACAUAGAAAUAAACAAGCUGGUCACGUACAGCCAAAUAAAUAUUGGAGAGAUCAGAGCGACCACUAGGGGGCGCGAACUGAAUCGUAAACCCUUUGGUUUCUGCGCACACACACACACACACACACUCUCUCUCUCUGCCAAAGCAAACGUUUGCGAAUUGCCCUUCAAGAGUCACUCUAAACUGCCUUCCCGUGAAACAUGAGUCUGGAGUCUACUUAGAAGGAAUGAGUGCGCACUUGGCGUUCCUGUAGGUGCAUGCCAGCCAGGAGACUCGGAGGAACUUUGUGAAUGAGAAACUGCAGCAAAUCUUUAUCGAGCCAACUCUGAAGGCAGAGCAGGAAGAAUAUAUCCAGGAGGGGAUUAAGUGGACUCCUACUGAUUACUUUAACAACAAAGCAGUGUGUGAUCUCAUUGAAAAUAAAUUGUUACUGCUUUAUCCUGGGCAGGGUCACGUUGGAUCUGGAGUCUAUCCCAGGAACACAGAGCGCGAGGAGGGAGUACACCCUGGAUGGACACCAGUCUAUCACAGUUUGUUUAUUCACUGAUCAGUUAAUUAUUGAGCGGCAGGAACACUCCUCCAUACAGUUAGACUUGGCAUCGUUGAUAAAUCCUCCUAGCAUCCAAAACCCCAUGCCUUCAUUAUCAGUGAAGAUUCUGAACCGGCUCCUUUCCCUGCAGAGCGCCACCACAGCGAAUUCCUCUCUACAGCUCCCUCAAAGCCGCCUCUGGCCUCCUUUUAGUCUGCAAACUCGUUAAUAGGAUGAAUAAGAGAGAAGAGUUGUGAGCCAUGAAAGCAGGCUAGUUCAAUUUGGGCCAAGGAGGCUGAACACGAACUGCUGAAGGGCGGAAGAAUGGAUUCUGAGAGGGAAAGAUGUCGCUCUGAGCCAUAAAGUCUAACGCAAUAAAUUAUCAGCAACGCAAUAAGCGAUUUCCAGGAGACAUUUUAAAAAAACUAACAACCAUCUUUCCCUGCACCAGGGAAAAAUGGCAAAAGCAAGCUGGCAAAAAGGAUCCAAUUUAAACAGGCUCAGGCUAUCAAGUGAAAUGUCAUAUAUUUUUCCUAUGGUUCUUAUAAUGUUUACUUGCGAGGAAGAGGAGUCAGAGUAAUAGUUAGCAAACAGCUGCUGGCAAGGCAAGCUAAACAUCCAUGGACUGAAUUUCUACACUUCUACACAGAAUUCUCUAAAAAUGGGCUCGAGGAUCACUUCUUGUGAUAUUCAGCAUCGACCUCCUGACUUUCUGCCAGGGGUCAAUAAAAAAUCUGAUCAAAAACUCUGAUAUUUGUUGCACCACUGAUUCUGUGAAGAAGAAAACAAAUUAUGUGGUCCAUUACCAGCCAAUCAAUCAGCACAAGCAGGCAUUUUCACUUGCCUGUCAAAUGUUACCAGUCAUUUCAGAAAGUUCGACCUCUUGCUCUCAAGAAUCUAGCAUUCAGACCUCCUAGCCUAGGCUGUGUGUGCUGAAGUUCUUGUGCAUGAGGUGGAACUGAAGGUAUUUGUUUGGAUUCUGAAUUUAAAAAUUGGUAGUUUCAGCUAACUUGUGCUAAAUCUGAUAGCUAUAACAGAUAUGUUACUUUUGCACUGGCACAGCGGGAAGCAUUGCUGCCUCACAGCUCCAGUGUCCAAUGUCCAGCUCCAAUCCUGAGCUCAGGUUACUGUUGGUACAGAGAUUCACGUUCUCCUUGUGUCUAUGUGGAUUUUUUCUGAGUUUUAUGGUUUGCUCCCAAAAACAGACCAGUAAGUGGCUUUGCUGCUGGUGCAUGGGGCGUUGUGACUGUCCAUCCAUUCGAGUUGUAUUCCAACCUCAUGCCCAGUGUUCCUGGGAUAGGUUCUGGACUCACCAUGAGCCUAACCAGGAAAAAACAGCUACUGAAGAUGAUGAGCUUUUGCACUGGAUCUGCUAAUAGAUGAAGGCUAUUAGCAUUAAAGGAUUACCAAUUAGCUUAAUGCAAACUGCAUAUAGAAAUUAUUGCACAUUUGCCUAAAAAACAUUCAAAAUGUUGGAAGCAAAUAAGCAAUUAAACAAUUUAACAAUGACUCACUGAAAAAAAUGACAUCUAAUAUAUCAAAUAGUCAAAUUUACCUAAUAUGUCCUAUUAUAAGGUUACAAUAAACCAAAUACAAGAUUAUGAAACCUAUUUUAAACAUUCUACUAAUUUCAAGUUUGAAAUAAUCUUGUUCUGUUAAUUGUAAGCAUUUAUUUCAAGAAAGAAGCAAAAUGAUUUGCCAAUAGACAACCAGAAAUAGGUUUAAUCAUUUUAUAUUUGGUUUAUUUGUAAUCUCAUAAUAGGUAAUAUUAGAUCAAAUUGACUAUAUUCAAGAUAUUUCCACUUGAUGUCAUUUCUUGCAGUGAGUCAAGUUGUUUAUUUGCUUAUUAACACUGUACGUCUUCACUGAUGAACAAAAGAAGCAAAAUUUUAAAACCAAGCAAACAUACAUUUCAUGAAUGUACAUGAAAAUAUGGGGCCUUGAGAAGAAAUUACCUAGCUACAUUCCGAGGCAAUCCACAAACAGAUUAUUUUAAGGAUCAGUGAAUCUGAUCAGUGAAUUUAGUCGAUUCAAUUAUUCA